rnacentral:rRNA from 1 species
AGAUUGAACGCUGGCGGCAUGCCUUACACAUGCAAGUCGAACGGCAGCACGGGAGCAAUCCUGGUGGCGAGUGGCGAACGGGUGAGUAAUAUAUCGGAACGUGCCCAGUCGUGGGGGAUAACGCAGCGAAAGCUGUGCUAAUACCGCAUACGAUCUAUGGAUGAAAGCGGGGGAUCGCAAGACCUCGCGCGAUUGGAGCGGCCGAUGUCAGAUUAGCUAGUUGGUAGGGUAAAAGCCGUACAAGGCGACGGAUCUGUAGCUGGUCUGAGAGGACGACCAGCCACGACUGGGACUGACGACGACCGGCCAGACUCCGUACGGGAGCGAGACGAGUGGGGAAUUUUGGAAC